rnacentral:rRNA from 1 species
GCGAACGCUGGCGGCAGGCCUAACACAUGCAAGUCGAGCGCCCGUAGCAAUACGGGAGCGGCAGACGGGUGAGUAACGCGUGGGAACGUGCCCUUUAGUUCGGAAUAACUCAGGGAAACUUGAGCUAAUACCGGAUACGCCCUUCGGGGGAAAGAUUUAUCGCUAAAGGAUCGGCCCGCGUAAGAUUAGCUAGUUGGUGAGGUAACGGCUCACCAAGGCUAUGAUCUUUAGCUGUUCUGAGAGGAAGAUCAGCCACACUGGGACUGAGACACGGCCCAGACUCCUACGGGAGGCAGCAGUGGGGAAUAUUGGACAAUGGGCGCAAGCCUGAUCCAGCCAUGCCGCGUGAGUGAUGAAGGCCUUAGGGUUGUAAAGCUCUUUUACCAGGGAAGAUAAUGACGGUACCUGGAGAAUAAGCCCCGGCUAACUUCGUGCCAGCAGCCGCGGUCC